GGUCGACGAUUAGAGUUUGAUCAUGGCUCAGGAUGAACGCUAGCGACAGGCUUAACACAUGCAAGUCGAGGGGCAGCACAGGUAGCAAUACCGGGUGGCGACCGGCGCACGGGUGAGUAACGCGUAUGCAACUUGCCUAUCAGAGGGGGAUAACCCGGCGAAAGUCGGACUAAUACCGCAUGAAGCAGGGGCCCCGCAUGGGGAUAUUUGCUAAAGAUUCAUCGCUGAUAGAUAGGCAUGCGUUCCAUUAGGCAGUUGGCGGGGUAACGGCCCACCAAACCGACGAUGGAUAGGGGUUCUGAGAGGAAGGUCCCCCACAUUGGUACUGAGACACGGACCAAACUCCUACGGGAGGCAGCAGUGAGGAAUAUUGGUCAAUGGGCGCGAGCCUGAACCAGCCAAGUCGCGUGAGGGAUGAAGGUUCUAUGGAUCGUAAACCUCUUUUAUAAGGGAAUAAAGUGCGGGACGUGUCCCGUUUUGUAUGUACCUUAUGAAUAAGGAUCGGCUAACUCCGUGCCAGCAGCCGCGGUAAUACGGAGGAUCCGAGCGUUAUCCGGAUUUAUUGGGUUUAAAGGGUGCGUAGGCGGCCUUUUAAGUCAGCGGUGAAAGUCUGUGGCUCAACCAUAGAAUUGCCGUUGAAACUGGGGGGCUUGAGUAUGUUUGAGGCAGGCGGAAUGCGUGGUGUAGCGGUGAAAUGCAUAGAUAUCACGCAGAACCCCGAUUGCGAAGGCAGCCUGCCAAGCCAUUACUGACGCUGUUGCACGAAAGCGUGGGGAUCAAACAGGAUUAGAUACCCUGGUAGUCCACGCAGUAAACGAUGAUCACUAGCUGUUUGCGAUACACUGUAAGCGGCACAGCGAAAGCGUUAAGUGAUCCACCUGGGGAGUACGCCGGCAACGGUGAAACUCAAAGGAAUUGACGGGGGCCCGCACAAGCGGAGGAACAUGUGGUUUAAUUCGAUGAUACGCGAGGAACCUUACCCGGGUUUGAACGCAUUCGGACCGAGGUGGAAACACCUUUUCUAGCAAUAGCCGUUUGCGAGGUGCUGCAUGGUUGUCGUCAGCUCGUGCCGUGAGGUGUCGGCUUAAGUGCCAUAACGAGCGCAACCCUUGCCACUAGUUACUAACAGGUAAAGCUGAGGACUCUGGUGGGACUGCCAGCGUAAGCUGCGAGGAAGGCGGGGAUGACGUCAAAUCAGCACGGCCCUUACAUCCGGGGCGACACACGUGUUACAAUGGCGUGGACAAAGGGAAGCCACCUGGCGACAGGGAGCGAAUCCCCAAACCACGUCUCAGUUCGGAUCGGAGUCUGCAACCCGACUCCGUGAAGCUGGAUUCGCUAGUAAUCGCGCAUCAGCCAUGGCGCGGUGAAUACGUUCCCGGGCCUUGUACACACCGCCCGUCAAGCCAUGGGAGCCGGGGGUACCUGAAGUCCGUAACCGCGAGGAUCGGCCUAGGGUAAAACUGGUGACUGGGGCUAAGUCGUAACAAGGUAACCAAU
rnacentral:rRNA from 1 species